UGGAGACUAAAUUGCGAGACGAAUCUAUUAAGCCUAAUUAGUCCAUAAUUUGACAAUAUGAUGCUACAGUAAAUAUGUGCUAAUGAUGGACUAAUUAGGCUUAAUAGAUUCGUCUUAUGAAAUAGUCUCUAUCUGUGUAAUUAGUUUAUAAUUAGUUGAUGUUUAGUCCUCCUUAUUAGCCUCCGAAUAUUCGAUGUGAUAUAAAUUUUAGUCCGAACUAAAAAUCCAAACACCCCUCCGUCUAUCACUAAACCUCGUAUAGUUUUAGGUACGAUGAAACCGCAACUUACCAUAAAAAUUCUUGAAAAAAACAUACAGAGUGGUCAUGGUGCAACAGCACCAACGUAGUUUAAUGCUCUGUUAACGUGGAUUUCAUAUGCAGAAGGGUGGGAAUAAAACCACAACAGUUGCUAGAAACCUUUUGCAUUUUGUGUCAGUCCCGUGACAGUGAGUGAUAGAGCUCUGUUCCUACCAAUUAGGUUCUCUGUUCCUGUUGCUAGCUGACUCUACCUUACUGAGAAUCACACAUGCGUUGUGUCUUUUAUGUUGACGCUUUUUCUAGCCAACGCACGAGUGCUCUAGCUCGCGCGUAGAUCAGGAAACCACCUCGUCGAAGCUCUUGCACCUGGCCGGUCAGACCGGUAGGGGUCAGGCUGGUCCUCGCAGGGACACCACGAAAACCUACGUCCACCACCUCGGGAGGGACCUCGUCGGGCAUGGAGAACCUAGGGUUGCUUUGAGAUCAGCAGGCCAUUCAGAACGUCCUCAACUGUCGUCGAGACAAAGGAGGAAAGCAAAGGGGUUGGAAAAGCUAGGGUUUGGAGAUAAAAAGUGUAAAAGAUAUUUUUGUCGAUUAGGUGAUGCCCCUCAAUCGGCUAGGGCCCUUUAUAUUUAUAGGGUGGGAGGUCUUUUCCUGUAAGAAAGUCCCGUUUCAACUCCAAUUUGGCCAGGACUCCAAGAUUCAUCUCGGACUUGGGAUGACCGGUCUGACUGCACCAGCGACCGCGCCGACCAUGCCAGCGACUGCUCCGACUCCUCUAACCACUCGAGACCGGUCAGACCACCCAUAGAGAGCGGUCUGACCGGCUGGUCCAGCCUGGUCGACAUUGCUGCCACUUUUUUGGCUCCAACAUAUGCCCCCUGUUUCUUGGUAAAGCUUGCGUAACAAGAAAUAAAAUAAGCCUAAGGGUGAUGGAUUCCACCGGCCAUUUGUUCUAAGGUCGAUAUUUCAAAAUAUCGGUCAUAUUGCUUCAAGUGUCUUGCCAAACACUAGGAUGGUACCUUUUCAGGUACCUCCCAUUCAGAGCUCUAGGUAGCUAAAAUCCAUGUAAUGUCUUCACCAUAUAGGAAUUCCCGCGAAGCACACUUGUAAUUUUAUAUGGCCCUUCCCAACUCGAAGACCACUUUCCAAACUUAUUACUCUUGGUUCCUAUAGGUAGGAUUGUCUUCCAAACCAGAUCUCCUACCUAAAAUGUCUUCGCCUUGACCUUUUUAUUGUAUGCUCUAGCCUACGUCCAGUAUGAGGAGUAGCUCGUGUUACUCACGCAAGUUCUGUAGUAGGGGGUACAAACGGGCGAGAGAGGGAGCCGGUCCCAAGUCUUUUGGGUGUGCACUGAUGCUCUAGAGGUGAGUGUGUGGGCUGUUGGCUUGAGCGUCCUCCCGGUAUCAGGGCCCUGGUUCUCCGCAAGGAGGGCUCAGGGUCACAGGUGAAUCGGGUGUGUGGAGAAGUAAAAGAGAUAAGCUAAGUAAAGUAAAUACAAGGAGAAGGACCAAGUCCCCGGGUUGCCGCCUCCUGCUCCAGCCUUCAGCUCCUGUCAGCGCGUCCAUCGGAGGAGGGCGGCUGUCUUUGGAUCCUGUCGACGAUCUUCCUGGGGACCGCUGCCGCCAAGCAUGAUGAUGGUGUUCGGUCAUGGCAACUGUGCACGUUGGGGGAGACGGCUGACCCCUGUUGUCCUGCUUAUGGUCCGCGGGACACGGAUGUCGCGUCCCUAUCGCCAGGUACACGGGGCGCGAGAACGGGCGGAGCUCCCUCCUGUGUUGGGCGGCGUAUGCCAUGAGUGUCCUAUGGCGAAUCAGGGGGAGCCGCGGCCACUGUAGCCUGUGUGGUCGUGGCUACAAUAUUCUGCCCGGGUACUUGUGGUGGUCACGUCGAGGGGCGCGGGCACCUUUCUGCGUGCCAGAGCCGCGGCGCAUUUAUGGCAAGAUUAGUCAGGGGCCCACGAGAUUGACACACUCAUCUGCCGGUCUGCGCCCAAGGCGGACCCUUGUCUUGUGGGCUCGGAUGAGUCCGACCCCCUACGCCCGGGGUCGGGUGAGGCAGAACCUUGCCGCGAGGGGUCGGGCGCAUCCGACCCUAGGACCGUGGGUUGGUCGAGGCGGAGUUUUGCCAUUGAGGGGUCGGGAGUGUUUGACCCCAGGGUCCUAGGUCGGGCGAGACGGAGCGGGAUGUUCCCUGCCCAUACUAGGCUGGCAGCAAUUGUCAUCAUCACAGGUGGGCCUGGGCCUUCAUGAUUGUUGUUUUAAGGGGCAUUAGGAGGUCGUUAAUAUUUCCCCCCAACAGUAGCCCCCGAGCCUGUGGUGGAGCGAGGAUGCUCCUCCAGAGGCUGCUUUCGUUGUUCAUCGGGGAUCUCAACUCGUCAUGCGAGCUGCAGUUAAUACAGGAUAGGGAGUGUUGUUUGCUCGACUUGACCAGGGAGAUUGAUCAGGCGAGGUGUCCUGUGGAUGACUUGAUACGGGAGGAUUUCUUAUUGUUCCAUAGGGCGCUUCCCGCCUGGAGACCUCAAGUCACGACCAUUUGUGUGGUCAUUGGUUGCGAUGCUAGCCCCCGCGCGUUGCAGGAGACCGGUCGGGAGGCUAGAUCGGCUUUUGAACGUUGCCCCUCAAGCGUCCGUUCGCUGAGACGGAGGGGGUGAGCCGUGCCACGCUAUCCUCGCUGGACAAAUCGUGGUGCUCAUUGAGCUGCAAACGGGUCGAUUCGAGUGGGAUCCCAGUCCCCAUUCCGGGGGGCCCGGCUCGUGCCAAGCUGGUGGCGUACCCUAGAUUCUGGCCAGCCAAAUCAUAUAGUUCCCGAGUCCGUUCGAUCGGAUUCGAGGGCUCGUUGCCUUUCUUCGGGGAAAAACCAUGAACUUUGAUUCCAGUCCGGACUCGAACAUGAGGUCGGGACGCCCUAGGCUAUCGUGCGCCCGGGUGAUGGCCGCUAGCGGACCCGUCCCUUCUCACCCCUCGCUUGGGGUUAGCCUGGGGCGGUUGUUGAACCCUUAGUGGACCAACCUUCGAACCCCUGGACCGUAAUGGGCCGUAGGGGUGUUUUCAGUCCCGUAUUCCUUUUUUACCUAUUGGUGGGCCUUGGGCCGGUUGUGGAGGAGGUUGUGCGCGUGCGUUUUCUGGGAGGCGAAGUGGCGGAAGGCGCCGGCCCACGAAGCGAGGGAGGCGGAGAUUUCUUCCUGCAGCAGAUCGUGCGCACGGAUUCCGAGAAAAGCGAGCGUGAUGGGGCGUACUGGGCGCUGCAUUAACUGCGACAAGACCGUCCCUUUCGCUUCCGACGCGCUCGCCUAUAAGACGGGGGGGUCUGACUCGCCGGUUCCGCCCGCAACUGCUCCAAAAUCUUUUCGCCUUCUCGCGCACCCUUUGCCUUCUUGCGCGCCGUUCGCCUUCCUCCGCCUAGCGCUGCUGCUUUCCUCACCCUCUGCCAUCGGUGCCUUCUCCCCUUCGCGAUGGAGUCCUGGACGUGCUCAAGCUUCGGUACCUCGCGCGCCGACAGCCUCAUGAGGAAAGGCCUCCUCUGCGAGAGGACCGAGAGGGGUGAAUGGCGGUUACCCGAGAGCGAAGAGGUGCCGAGUCCGCCUGCCGGCUACGUCGUUUCAUUCGCCCACUUCCACAAGAGGGGGUUCGCGACCCCGCCGAGCCGCUUCUUCCCUGGACUGCUGCACUACUACGGGCUUGAGCUGCAGUACCUUAAUCCCAACAGGAUCCAACACAUCACGGCGUUCGUCGUGCUGUGCAAGGGGUUCCUGGGCAUUGAGCCCAACUUCUCGCUCUGGAAGUACUUCUUCGUGGUCAGCCUGUACUAGAGGACCGAGAGGAAGGGGAGCCAGCAGCGGACGACCCCGGUGCUGAUUGGGUGCGCCGCUAUCCAUCUUCACCAGAACCGCACCAAGGAAUAUAUGGCGAUGAAGACCACGACAUCCCACAAGGGGUGGCUUUAGCAGUGGUUCUAUGUGAAGAACUACUCUAACUCCCCCUUGCCGGCGUUCACCGGCCGCGUCAUCGAAGCGGCACCGGAGCUGUGGUCGUAUGGCCCGGUAGAGAAGGAGAAGAAGCAGAUCACUGAUUUGCUUCAGGCCAUCGAGUACCUGAAGGGAAAAGGUCUGACCGGGGUCGGAGUUAUCGGGGCGUACCACGCUCGGAGGGUGGCGCCGCUGAUGCUCCGGGUUCGCUCGCUCGCCGAUAUGGUUCCCGGCGCGCCGACCAAAGGCACCAUCCUUGCGACGGGCGCGCUUGCCGACAGCGAGAUCUGGCAGCAAGUCCGGGAGGUGCUGGACGACAAGGACGCCGAUUACCCGGUGCCUGGUCAUCCUCCAAUGCACCCGGACGAGAAUUUCAUCGAGCUGGUGAGGACUUUGCGCUCUCAUUCUUUUUUCCUACGUUUCUUGGCUCAUCGAUCCGACGCGGAGUUUUCGUGUCUGCCAGGCCACAUGUCUAGGGUCGUGGCUCACACCCGCCGGUGCCAGAGGAUGCUGAACGGCGGUAGCAGAACCGCCUCCUCGCCGAGAAGCAGAAGAGGCACAACGACAAAGAGACGACGAGGAAGAAAAAGAAGGCCACCAAGGAGUUCCAACAGCGGCAGUGGGGCAAUGUCGUGUCGGACAACGACAACGCCGAUGAUGAGGAGGAAGACAAGGAAGACGAGGAGGAGGAGGAGGAGGAGGAGGAGUUCAUUCUGACCACCCGGCCGGACGCGCUCGUCAUCCGAGAGUAGCGCCCCAAACCGGCCGCAGCGGACAAGCCGAGCGAACCGCCCGCCCAGGACCCGCCCCCACAAGGCUCUAGGGCCGCGCCCUAGGGGUCGGCGCAGGGCGCACCUCGAGAGUCAACAGAGCCGACCCCUGACCCUCUUCCUGUGUCCCAUGAGCAGAGGAGUAGCGGCAAGCGGCCGCUGCCAAAAGCCCCGGGGUCGGCGUCGAGCUCGGAGGCGAAACGCGCCCGCCGUCCUCGUGCUGAGGGAGUGUAAGUGGAAAUUCCUCGCGCAUCUUAUUCCUUCCCCGCCAUCGAGCUGUAUUUGAUGAUGUUGUUUGUUGUUUCACAGUGCCGCCCCUCGAGACUUCGUCCUGCCGCUGGCGCCGAAGAAGGCGCUACGAGUGUCGUCCGGCUCCUCGAGGCGAGCCGCGACCCCGCCGGGGGUGAGCGGCGGUGUCGCCGGGGAGACUGCGGAACCCACCGCGGAGGCGGCCUCUACGGCGGCAACCAGUGGGAGGGUGUCGCAGCUGAGCACGAGCAGGGUCCGACCCCUGCUCCGCCUUCUGCCUCCGCGGCUGCCCCUGCAAGACAAGGUGUUGCCGCUGGGGUCCCUCCGCCUGGCAAGGUGAUAGACCUCGAUGACAAGGAGGAGGAGGAGCCUGCGGCUCCGACGGCGAUAGCGGAGAUGGGGGCAGUUGCCCCAGUGACUGCGAUGGAGAUGGAGGUGGCGACGGAGGAGGGAAAGUCCGCCCCCGCGUCCAUGACGGGGAUAGCGGCAGCGGUGGAGGCGGGGGUACGUGCCCCAGCAGCCGCGACGAAGGCGGCGACGGCGGCAAAGGCGGGGGUGCCUGCCCCGGCGGCCACGACGGAGGUGGGGACGCCUGCUUUGGCGGCCGCGACGAAGGCCGCAGCAGCGGUGGGAACGGGAAUGCCCGCUCCGACAGCCGUGACGGAGACGAUGGCGGUGGCGGAUGGAGCGGGAUGGGCGUCGGCGUCGACGGUGGCCGCGGCGACUUCGAGAGAGACGGCGGCGCAUGUGCCGGGGCCGUCGGCGAGGCCGGCAGCAUCAGGGGCGGUGGCACCUGCCCCAGCGGCGGGGACGGCGGCGCCGGGGUCGACCGGAGCGGCCUCCACCCUUGUCCUGGUUAAUGCCGUUCCCAAAGCGUGGGCUGGGCCUACCCUGCGCUGGAUGUCCCGUGAGGAUCCACAGAGACCCCUCUUCAUGCUUGACGACGCCGGGGAGUGGGGUAAGUGGCAGGCGGUGCAGGGCGGGCUUGCAAAUGUCCGCGCUGCCCUGUCCUCCACGAUGGGGGAGUUGGACGGUAUCGUCAUCCCCGGUGGCCAGGUACGGUGUUCUCCCCGGUGGUUGUUUUCCUCUCACCUCUCCUUUGAUAAGCAUAAUUUGUUUUGUAGGCCCUCCAGGAAUGCAGCUGGGGGAAGUCCGAUUUCCUCCGGCUCGAGCGGGGGCUCUGGGAACGCUUCUCCGCAGACAGACAGCGGACCGGGGAGCUGACAGCGCAGGUUGCUGCCGCUCACCAGGUCAUCACCGACCUGCGCAGGCGCGAGUAGGCGGCGCAGGAGGACGCGCGGCGAGCGGAGGACAAAUUCCAGGCCGUUGUCGAGAAGGCUCACCUUGAUCUCGAGGAGUUCCAGACUGCGGCCGAGAAGGCCCGCUACGUUGCCGAGGAGCUCGCGCGGCUGAAGGGGGACUAUGAGGCCCUUCAGAAAACCGUCGAGCAUAUCCGGCGCGAAUGGCAAAAGGCUUGGCAGGAGCGGGACUCCGAGGCAAUCCAGAAGGCUGAGGCCGAGAAGAUAGCAGCCGAGCUCGGGGAGGAGGUCACUCAGCUCCACGUGCGAGUGCAGGGGCUUCAGACCACCGUAGCCCAGGGACUCGACUGGGAGCGUGAGCUAAAGGCUCAAUCUGAGGGUAAGGCUUAUCCUGUCCCUUUGCUUUUGUGGUGUUGUGAUGGUUUCUAACUUGGCGGAUUUUUGUGGAUGGGCCUCACAGACGAACUCGCCCGGCUGACGGAGGUCCUCAAUGCGGAGCGCGCCGAGCACGGCAACCUGUGGGACGCGGUCCGCGUUGUCUACGACGGCCUUGGCGUGCUCCAAGGGGAGGGGACGAGUUCUUUGGCGGCUCAUGUCCUUGGGCCGUACCGGCGGGCCCGUGAGAUUGCUCGGGAGGUGCUUCACGUCGGUGUGAGGUGGGCCUUCGGCGUCUUCGGCUCCCACUACUCAAAAAUCAACAUCAUUGGGAUGAGCGGGGGGUAUGCCUCCGGCUACUCCGAGGCCGAGCUGGACGAGAUCGACGCGUCGCUGCUCAACCCAGCGGAGGCCCUGGCGAAGCUUCUGGAGGAUGAGGCCAUUCCGCCGGAGGACCCAGGGACGAGUUAGCUGUAUCGGGCUUAGAUGCCCCAGAAUAUAAAUAUGUUAGUUAACUUUGAACUUGUUUUUGUGAUGGCCGCAGAGGCCUUUUCUAUAAUUUAUCGGAAAAGUUUUUGAUCCUCUUUCUUGUUUUUUUGGGUUUGGAAAGUUUAGAGUGCAGGUCGGGCGCGUCAGUAAGCGCUGAUGAGCGAAGGCACCGUAGCCGCUAGGGCGUAGGUUUUUCGCAGUCCGAUCAGUCUUGCCUGAGCGUCGUUUACGCGCUUGUUGGCGCUAGAAAUCAGCUGAUCGAAUUCCCAGCGUUGGACACACGACCCGGGAGAAUCUGCUUAGGUCCUGUUCGGGUGAUUGCCCAGGUGCGGUUCGCGUGGCGUGCCAGCCAAUCUGACCUGUUGAUUGGCAAGGAAAUAAACGUGUCAGUUCCCAGAGGUUGCGAUCGACUAAGGUUCCGAUCUCGAGAAAGCUUAUCAGCGAAUCGGCCGAUUUGCAGUAAUAAAGAAAUCGGCUAUGAUGCAACCGAUUACCAGGCAACGUUUAUAAAGAAAACUGCUAGAGUAAUCUAAACAACGCUACAAUAGCAACACUAGGAACAGAUCUAGUCGGCUAUGCAUAAAAUAGGUAGAUUAAAUAGCGAAGUACAAGGAAAGCCGAAAUUACUGAUUCCUAGCUGGAUAACUGGUGAUAAAACUAGAACAACAGGUAAAACCUAGAAUUCUAGUAAAUAUCGAUAACUGAUGAAUAAAUCUAAACGAAACGACAGCGAUGCGCCCGAAGUUAAAGCUUAGAAUUUACUCGAUAAACGGAACUUACAAGAUCGGCCGGAGGUCAAGUUGAUGCAGCCCCGCCAACCUGUAUGAACUCGUGAAAAGAAGAAAAAGUGUUGGCGAAGUCGCCUGCUUGAAAGUAAGUACGCGAAAACAGUAGUUUGUUGUAUUGAGUUGCUGAUGAUUACAGAUCUACAAGGGUGGCUAUUUAUAGUCCCGUACAAACGACUUCUUAUCCGACUAGAACUCUAUCCCUAAAUUUAAACAGAAAACGAAUAUUUACAAGUACGAUUCGUACUAUUUUCACGCGCUUCAUGGGCUGACCCCCUCUUCAUCUUCAUAAUCCUUUUUAAGCCCACAUCGGCCCAACUAUUCCAACCUCCUAAUCGGCCGAUCACCUCUUUGGCAAGGGGGUAACCGAUCAGGACCCACAUGUCGAGGGCUCAGACUCAUUCCGACCCUGGGAACUAAGGUCGGACGAGGCGGAGACCCUCCUUUGGAGGGUCGGGCGCGUCCGAUCCCAAACCUCAGGGGUCGGGCGAGGCGGAGAUCCUCCCUUGGAGGGUCGGGCGCGUCCGGUCCCAAGCCUCAGGGGUCGGGCGAGGCGGAACUCCAAGGAUCAAUCGGCCGAUCCUCGACUGUAGCAUCAAUUGGCCGAUCCUUGACUGUAGCACCAAUCGGCCGAUUUCCAAUCGUCGCCCUUAUAUCUCACCGCAUCUCCUAAUUUCUUCCACUUCUAACGCCGAUUUUACUCAUGUCAAAAUCUGGCGUCAACACAUGCCCCCCAGUUUCGGAGUAAAACAUAGUCUUUACUUCGAAAUUGUUUUCAACUUCUCACCCGAAACAGACGCAACGAAAACAUCCUUUCGUUUCACGGUCUCCAACCUGAUGAUUGCAAUCUUUUCGAAACGGGCGCCCACGACAACCACUACUCCCGAAAAACUCGCAACGCCGGCGCGGUAAAAAUUCCACUUUUACCCCUUCUCAGACCUUCCUUAAAUAUCAGCACAUCCCGUACUCCUUACGAGCUCACGUCCUUCUUCUUCAGCGCACAGGCUUUCUUCUCCCUCCAACACUUUUCUAAGUCCUCCAAUUCUCCAGCGCCUCCUUCCUUUCGCAUUACCUCCUACUCUUCCAAUGGCGGCACCUUCAGGCACCUCACCAACGCGCGAAGCUCCAGAAAUGGUGCCUUUGGUAGAGGUUCCAGUAGCGACAGCGGCGGCUCCAUCGACGGAAGAAGGAGCUCCAUUGGCGAAAGUUGAAGCUUCAUCCGAGAUCCCAUUGGCAGCUUCAUCGUCUGCAGCUGCACCGGCGACUCCGCCGAUUACGAGGAGCUUCAUCCCGGAGGUCAUUACCGAAACUUUCCCUUAUCAGUAAUGCAUUUACUUUAGACCUAUUUCUUAAUCUCGCGCCCCCUUUUCCUUUUUAGGCGGUUAGGCAUCGCAUCACCAUUCGUCUUACAGAAAACCUCAGCCUUAUCUGCCUUGGGCCCAUGGGAACCCAUAGGAUCCCCUUCAAACAAUCAACCAUGGACCUAGAUCACUGGUUGGGUACCUUUAGGUCUUGGCCGAACGAAACUCCCGGUUGGAGGGAAUGGUACCAACGGAUAGCCGCCUCCAAGAAGGUCCAAUGGGAUGAGCUCAAAAUUGGCCAAUGCAUCGAUCUAUCUUUGUCCCAAAUUUAACGGAAUGAGCAGUUAGUGGUGGCAGCUUCUUACUUCUAGUCCGAUGCUCUCAACGCAUUCCUGUUUGGACACGGACCCGUGACCCCCACAUUGGCCGAUGUAGUCUUGCUGACCGGCCUGGACAUUUCUUCCCCAGACACCCCUUUCCGCCUUAUAACCGCAACAACACAUCAGCUGGACACAAGGGGAAUCGACAGGUGGAAAGGUUUCAUCAGAUGCAACAAAAGGGCCGGAUUUGUCGAGAACAGAGAGCACACGGCCUUCUUGAUGAUGUGGCUAGAGAAGCACUUCUUCUGCGGGAGAGCAGCUGGUCCAUCUACCAAUACCCAAGCUCUGACCGAAGCAUUAUCAAUAGGGACUUCUGUUCCUCUUGGAAAGCACUUACUGGGAGCAGCCUACCACAUGCUUCACCAAAUCGGCAUCAAGCUAUCCCAAGGGGAGCCAAUUGGAAACCCAGGUGGACCCUGGUGGUUCAUUAACUUAUGGCUGAACUUGUACAUGAGCGAGAUCUCUCAGCAGCGAGUGGAACACAUGACAUUCCCCAGCGUCGAAUCGGCAGAGAAUCUCACUGUCCGACGCCGGUGUACGUCUUUCGGCGAAGCGGCAUCAGCCUUCUCUGGUUGCUCGUACUCUGCUACCAAGGUGGCCGAAUACUUCCGGUGUUUUUAUAACGGCUUCAAUGAAGAUGCAACCGUCUGGUUCCCUUAUCGGAGAGAUGACCCAAUCUUUGAACUCCCUUCUUGCUUUGACUCAACCACCGGCCGAUUCGAUGAAGAUCUCACAGAUGAACUAAUUAAACCGGGGAUCUUACCGGCCAACUUCUUCUCAGGAAAGGAUGCCCCUACAUAUGAAUUCUACAACCCCUCCGUUGCAGCACGGCAAUUCGGCAUGGGUCAACUGCCGAUUCAGGCAUACUUCGUCGGCCGAGCAAAGUUCAGAGAUGAGCUCACCAAGGGUCUUGACUAUAGUCGGCUGCGAGAUCGGAUACCAGACUCCAGUACCAUAGACUUGAAUGACUGGAUAGUAGCCCCCUUUGCUGUCCAACCAUUCAAGCUAUGGUGGGCCGAAUGGAAACAGUACCUUUUCUGCGCCUCCGCAUCGACAUACUGCAAUCUCCUGGAUCCAGCCAACAUCGAUCCGAACGCCGAGGUAUUUUUUUCCCUAGCCGAUUUUCAUUCCUUUAUUAAUGCGGUUAAAUAUGUACACUAACAUCUUGUUGUUGCUUCAGUCUGAAAACCGCGUUCCCCCAACACACAGUCGGAGUGGCCGGCCGAUAGAGGACCAUCACCCAUACACCAUCUUCCCCUUUAUCGGCCAUGAUGCCCCUUCCGUGGAUGUGAUUUCCGGCCGAUCGAAGCAGGCGCAGAAGAAGGUUACCAAGAAGACCAGUCGCCGAGUACGAGCUCGUAUAGAACCGGCCGACCCUCCUAUGAUCACAUCGGCAGAAACUUCGGCCGCAUUGCCCCUUCGAGCUGCUGGAGAAGUGGAUACUCAAGUCGUCACACAAGCUGGGGCGGCCGCUACAUCAUUACUGGUGGAGGCUAUGCAGGUAAACUUGUUGUCUGAUCCUACCGAUUGCCAUCCCUAUACUGACUCAUCUUAUUUUAGACUGCACAAAUCACUUCUGUGGACUCACAACAAUCGGCAGCAACCCAAUCGGUCAUCAACACGCCCAUGCUUCCAUCUGCUGAGGUAUGCUACUCUUCAACCGAUUUUUCUAGUAUUUGGAUAAUAUUCUUAUUCAAUCUUUUGACACAGGUCACCGGUACGCUUAGCGCCCCACCUAACCAACCAAUGGUCAUCUUUCGGGAAGCUGGCCCGAGCAAAGCACCAAUCAUGGUGGAGUCUUCUACUUCUGACGAACCAAUGGUACCAGCCCCUGAAUCGAGGAUAACGGCCUCUCAAACGCAGUUUGAAGAAAUCCGUUUCAAGGAGGUAAGAGAUUUCUCACCCUUACUCGGCCGAUUUGCUAUCAUCAUCGGCUGAUUUGUUCUUCUUCUUGACUCACUAUUUUUCAGGAACAGGACACCCCCAACAACAGCCUUUUCUCGUUUGCGGUCGCACUCUCCGAUGACGAGGAAGUCGCCUCUCGCCAGGUCACUUUGAGCUCCGUUCCUGAUGACGUCCGUGCCAAACUCGCAAGCAUCCGAUCCCUUCUUCAAGAGGACAUCGGCCGAUUGGUAGAAGAUGCUUCGCCGAUUCGACAACUUUUUGGUGACAUCAGCGGGCGAGUACCAGAAGAAGCGGAAGAGGCCUUGGCGCCGGCCGCAUAUAUCGAGUCAAUGAGGAUUCCGGUCUUUAGGGCCCUGCGCCACAUGGCCGAUCGCGUCAAGUUGACCAAGACUCGUGAAGAAGAAGAUACGUACAAGCGUCAAGCUCAAGAGGUGCAUCAACGGAUUCACUUUCUGGAAGACUCUCGCCCGGGGAUCGUCGGCACGAUAGAUCGCCUCAAACGCUGAAGGGCAGAGCUUGCCAAGGAGAUGGAGCAGGUGACCAAAGCAAUAGACGCCGAAGAGAAGAGGCUUCAGGAACUCCCUUCUGUCAUAGCCGAUCUGAAACGGGAGAGGCAGCAUCUGGCUCACGAAGCCCUCAAACUCCACCGCCAUAUGUCAGAAGUCCCCGGAUCGGCAGAGGAUGACCAACGGGUCCUGGACUCUGCCGAUCAGAUCCGACACCGAGCGAUCGCAGCUAUCGAUGCCCUUCUGGGUGACCUGUAAAAGUACUGGCAGUUCUUGUACGAAUAUUUAAUGACCCCUUUGACCGUCCUUCGCGACGCCCCCUUAUUUAUUACCUUUUACACUCCCGAUGGGACGCGUCUUACCAAACAUCCAUGCCUUCCUUUCCUAUAAACACCGGCCUAGGUGACCGUUCCGAGAGUACCUAUCUAACUCGGCUUCAUCUUCCCCGACCUGUUCACAUCGGUGCGCCUUUCAGUCAUGUCUUCUCCAUCCUCUACCUCUUCCUCCGUUAAUCAGGUAAAAGAUUUGCCUUCAUUCUCUUUCUUAGUUUAGCUCUUCUGAAGGGAAUCACCUUUUCGGCAACUAUAUGUAUAUUGUUGCUUUCCGCAGCCACGGCACCUUAGCCCUAAACUCGAACGAGCCAUCGGACUUGUACACUCCGACGAACCGUUGUCGCAAGAAGACAAGGAUUUAAUUAGAGCUCAUCGCGAUAAACUCCAAGAGCACGUCCCCGCCGACAUCCGACGGAUCUGGGACUUUCUGGACAGCAACGACCACCGGCGACCUCAAGCCGACCGAAGUCAUCCGCUUCCUCAUCAAAUUGUCCUUGAAGAUGCAGCAGCAGGAACAUCACGCCCGGCCACGGACUGGAGUCACCCUCUCCCCCGUCAAGUCGAAGCGGAGGCUUCGAUGAAAGAGAUAGAAGAAGAGUACAUCCGUCUUCUGAUAGAACUAGGUCGGGCUGAGAGAGAGCUUAAGAAAAAGCGUGAUUAAUUAUUUUUUUGUUCUAAGGGCGACUUGUACCUUGUCGGCCGUGUAACCCACUGUCCGUACCGAAUGAAAUAUAUCGGCCGAUUUGGACGAUUACGUUUUUUCUCUAGACGAACCCUUUUGUAUCGGCUGUGUGUUGUUCAUCGUGGUCGAUCCUUAUGCUCCGACCCAUAUACUAGGGUAGUACCUUUUCAAGUAUCUUCCGUUCAGAGCCCUAGUAAACUCUUCUCCUUCGAUUGUUUCCAGAAUAUAAGCGUUUCCUGGAGCACAUCUGCCGAUUUUAUACGGCCCUUCCCACGUAGGGGACCACUUACCGAAUUUAGGAUCUUUCGACCCGAUCGGCAACACUAACUUCCAUACCAGGUCCCCUGGAGAGAAUUGUUUGACUUUGACCUUCAUAUCAUACCACCUGGCCACUUUCUUCUUGUUUUAUUCAAUGCUUAUCAAAGCUCUCAAUUGUUGGCCAGCCAAGUCAUCAAGUUCCCUUUUCAUGAGUGAGGAGUAGUCGUCGGCCGCUAACUGGUCCUGGAGCGAAGUGCGUCUCGACCCUGCUCUCAAUUCCCAUGGUAGUGCCGCCUCGUGACCGUACACCAACUGAUAAGGGGACAUCUUGGUGGCCCCAUGGCAAGCCAUCAUGUAUGCCCAUACAGCUUUAGUCAGACAUAAAUGCCAUUUUUUCGGCUGCUCCUCUAUCUUCCUCUUGAUUAACUUAAUUAUCCCUUUGUUGGAAGAUUCGGCCUGGUCGUUAGCUUGGGCAUAAUACGGAGAGGAGUUUAACAAUUUGAUUCCCAUAUCGGCCGUGAACUCCUCGAAUUCUCCCGAUGUAAACAUCGUCCCUUGAUCGGUUGUGAUAGUCUGGGGGAUGCCGAAACGGUAGACGAUAUGGUCUCUUACGAAGUCAACCAUAGCAGCCGAUGUUACGGCCCUUAACGGAAUUGCCUCCACCCAUUUGGUGAAAUAAUCAGUGGCCACCAGAAUGAACUUGUGCCCUUUGCUUGACGGAGGAUAAAUUUGGACGAUGAGGUCUAUUCCCCAACCUCUGAACGGCCAUGGUUUGAUAAUGGGAUUCAUGGCCGAUGCGGGCGCACGUUGGACAUUCCCAAAUUUCUGACAAUCCUGGCAUCCUUUAUAAUAUUUGAAGCAAUCUUCGAGGAUCGUCGGCCAGUAAUACCCAUUAUUCCUAAUCAUCCAUUUCAUCUUAUGUGCCGAUUGGUGGGCUCCGCACACUCCUUCAUGGAUUUCUCCCAUCAGAGUCUUAGCCUCCUCCGUUCCUAGACACUUGAGUAGGACGCCAUCAAUUGUUCGGUAGAACAAGUCGUCUUCCAGUAACACAUAUUUGGUAGCAUGAAAACAUACCCGCCAAUCUACUUUCUUAGACGGAUCUUUCAGGUAAUCGGCAAUCUCCUUUCGCCAGUCAUUGGCCGCGAGCUCUAGAGCCAAGGCACCUUGAAUCGGCCGAUACCCAGAUGCGUGUUGGGCGAGCUUGUUGGCAUCCUCGUUGUGAUUCCUUGGGAUGUGCUCGAUAACUGCCGACUUGAAUUCUUUCAGAAGCAGCAGGCAAUCUUCGUAAUAAAUCUUCAACACAUCGUCCUUGCACUCGGACUUCCCUGUUAACUGAUCCACGAUAAGCAUGGAAACCCCAAAAAUUUCGACGGACUCAGCUUUGACUUCCCUUAGCAAUUGUAAUCCCUUCAGUAUAGCUCGGUACUCUGCUUGAUUGUUAGUGGCAGAUGCUUCUAUCGGCAGAGAGAAAUCAUAGCUUGCCUCCCGAGGCGAUAUGAGGACGAUGCCGAUUCCUGAUCCGGCCCCACAUGAUGAUCCAUCAAAGUAUAAAGUCCAAGGUACUGGUUCUACAAAGGUAGCCUCUGGCCCGCAGUGCUGGGCAACGAAAUCGGCCAUGACUUGACCCUUAACGGCUUUUGCCGAUUCAUAUCGAAGGUCAAACUCCGACAAAGCCAAGAUCCAUUUUCUGAUCCGUCCUUUCAAAAUCGGCAGUGACAGCAUGUAUUUUACCACGUCGUCCUUGCAUACGACCACACAUUCCGCUGACAGCAAAUAGUGUCUGAGUUUGGUGCAUGAAAAGUAAAGGCAUAGGCACAACCGCUCCAAUGGAGGAUACCUUGUUUCAGCGUCCAGAAGUCUUCUGCUGACAUAAUAAAUUACUCGUUCCUUUCCCUCGAACUCCUGGACCAGAGCCGACCCAAUAGCUCGUUCAUCGGCUGAUAAAUACAGUUUAAACAGCUUACCAGUUUGAGGAGGGACCAAUACCGGUGGUGAGACCAAGUACUGCUUGAUAUCUUCCAAUGCCUUGCGUUGCUCUUCCCCCCAUAUGAACUCCUGGUCGGGCUUCAACUUUAAUAAUGGUGUGAAGGCUUGGAUUCGCCCAGACAGAUUAGAUAUGAACCUUCUGAUGAAAUUCACCUUGCCGAUUAGAGAUUGCAGCUCAGUUUUAUUCUGCGGGGCCAUGACUUUGUUGAUGGCCGCUAUGGUCUUCCGAUUGAUCUCUAUUCCCCGCUCGUGCACCAUGAAUCCUAAGAAUUGUCCGGCGGAUACGCCGAAGGCGCACUUAUUCGGGUUCAUCUUCAGCCCAUGUUUCUUAGUGCAUUCCAAUACUUGUCGUAAAUCGGCCAGAUGCUCCUGGUGUCCUUUUGACUUGACUACGACGUCGUCGAUGUAGAUUUCUACUAGUAUGCUGAUAAGUUUGUGAAAUAUGUAGUUCAUGGCUCUCUGAUACGUAGCGCCGGCGUUUUCCAAGCCGAAAGUCAUUACCACCCACUCGAAUAAACCAAGGUGACCUGGGCAUCUGAAGGCCGUUUUGGGUAUGUCUUCUUCGGCCAUAAGUAUCUGAUUGUACCCAGCGUUUCCAUCCAUGAAACUAAUAACCUUGUGUCCCGCGGCGGCAUCUAUCAGCACAUCGGCCGUCGGCAUGGGGUAUCCGUCCAUUGGUGUGGCCUGAUUGAGGUUCCUGAAAUUGACGCAUACGCGUAGCUUUCCAUUCUUCUUGUAUACUGGUACAAUGUUGGAGAUCCAUUCGGCAUAACGGCAUUGCCGAAUAAAUUUUGCUUCAAUUAGCCGCGUUAUUUCGGCCUUUAUGUCUGGUAGGAUUUUAGGAUUGCACCACCGUGCAGGUUGUUGAUACGGCCGAUACCCUGGCUUUAUGGGUAACCGAUGCUCAACGAUAGAUCGGUCUAAUCCGGGCACCUCAUGAUACUCCCAAGCAAAGCAAUCCUUAAAUUCUCUUAACAAACUUGUCAGUUUACAUUUGUAUUCCGGAUCUAAAUUUGCACUAAUAUAUGUCGGCCUUGGUUUGGUGCCAUCGCCUAAGUCUAUCAUUUCUAAUGAAUCGGCUGACGUGAACCCGUGUCCCAGCUUCCCAUCUUCUCGGGCGAACUGAUCCAUUUUAAUCUGAGUCCACGGAGCCGACUGCUCGGAUCGGCUGUAGGCCAAAAUCGGACACCUUCAAGAAGUCAGUAUCCCAUACUCUCCCGGAUAUGCACUUGACGGUUUCGCAGCUCCAGUGCUGCGUGUCGGCUGCCACGAUGCUGUAUGCGGAAUCGGUGGUGACCACUUCGAUGUUGUCGCCGACCCAUUGUACGAGGCAUUGAUGCAUUGUAGAUGGGAUACAGCAAUUUGCAUGUAUCCAGUCUCGGCCGAGUAGCAUGUUGUAGGACCCCUUGCCAUUAAUGAUAAAGAAAGUAGUAGGAAGGGUCUUACUGCCGAUGGUGAGGUCGACGCAGAGAGCGCCACGAGCGGGGGAUACGUUGCCCUCGAAGUCCUUGAGCAUCAUAUCUGUCUUGGUCAGGUCAUCAUCGCUCUUCCCUAGCUUCCGGAACAUGGCGUACGGCAUGAUGUUGACUGCAGCCCCUCCGUCUACUAGUAAUCUGGUGAUGGGUCGGCCGUUGACAUGCCCUUUAAGAAACAAAACUUUCAGGUGUUGCCGUUUGUCUUCUUCGGGCUUCUCGAAUGUGGCUGUCAUUGGCUCCAAAGCCAAUUGCGCCAUCUGCUCUUCCAUUGCCGACAUGUCCUGUCGGUCGGCAGGAGUCAUGAAUUCCAUCGGCAGUAUGAAAACCAUGUCGAUGUCGGCUGCCGAUUCGUCGCCUCCUCUGUCGUUUCUUUUGGGGCGCUAUACCUGAGACGUGCCGUUCUUCUCACCUGCCGUAUGCCCUUCCUCUUCCUCCUGCUGUUCCCACUGGCAGAGACGUUGGAUUCUUCAUUUUUGAGACUUGGUCAAUCCAUCGGGGCACCACCUGGUGUUCACCGGUUUGGUUCGUGGCCUGGCGCGUUCCCAUUCUGGUUCGCGUCCUAAAGGGUUCUCGUCUGACACCCGAGCAUCGGCCAUAUCUUCAAGUCGACUGUGGACGCUGACCCUGUUUUCUGGCCAGUCAUGUCGAUCAAAUCUGCCCCCCCCCCCCCGGCCCAUCAUUGCGCCUGCCUUCUGACCGGUCAUACCGGUCACUUCUGCCCCCCAGCUGAUCACGUACUGGAGGGCGCCGGUCGUCUUGUUCACGCCAGUUCCUGCUGAUCGGCUCUGAUUUCCCAUCUCUGGAGCGAGACCUUCUGAACGGCUGAAUGUGACGAUACGGACCGUUGCACUCAGGGAAAUUAUCGACCGAUGGCAACCUGAGGUUGCUUUCCCAGCAGUGGAUGAAGAACGGGCAUCGCCAAUGAUCUUCAUGUCGCCGCAUCGCCUCUUCCCGGGACCUUGAACGUCCAUGUUGCCGUUGAUAUUUGUCGAGCAGGAAUUGGGAAGUAAUGGGUCUGCGUGGUUCUCCUGAUCCGUCGUCAUCGUCCUCCAUCUGCCACUUCCCCUUGAUGUUUUCAGGCGCCGCUUGAUUUCUGGGGUCUACGGCGCCGCUCUUUUUAGCCGAUUCGGAUGUCAGCACCUUGGUUUGGAGCGCAUUCUUUCCUGUGUCAACCAUGUUAGUGGAGAAGGGGUGCUGGUCGAUCUUCAUUGGCUUGGCUGGUUUUGUUGGCACUUCAAAUUUGAGUCUGCCCUGCUCAAUGGCCGUCCGUAUCUACUGCCGGAAGAUUUUGCAUUCAUUAGUGUCAUGGGAGGUAGCGUUGUGCCACUUGCAAUAUUUCAUCUUCUUCAGCUGUUCGGCAAAAGGAAUCGUAUGGUAUGGCGAGAGCUUGAUCUGUCCUUACUGGAGGAGGAGGUCGAAGAUUUUAUCGGCCUUUGAUGUGUCAAAUCCGAACGUUUCCGGCUCCUUCUUGCCAAAUGGACAUGAUAUCGGCUUCUUCCCUUUAACCCAUUCCGCAAGGCCGAUUUCUGUGUCUUCUUCGGUUUCAACCUCUUCUAAGUAUGCCACCUUCUUCUGGAAGUUCCUCCAUGGAUCGAAAGAACGUACUUCUUGACCGGACAAUCGGUGGACGAUUUGGCUCAAGCUCUCAAACUCCUAUGAGGUGUAUUUUUCCUUGAUGUGAGGUAGGAGACCUUGAAAGGCUAUAUCGGCCAACUGUGCAUCAGUCAGGGCCAGGGAGUAGCACUUAUUUCUGAUUUCCCUGAACCUCUGUACAUAUGAGGAUAUCGGCUCGUCGCUUAGAUGCCCCAGAAUAUAAAUAUGUUAGUUAACUUUGAACUUGUUUUUGUGAUGGCCGCAGAGCCCUUUUCUAUAAUUUAUCGGAAAAGUUUUUGAUCCUCUUUCUUGUUUUAUUGGGUUUGGAAAGUUUAGAGUGCAGGUCGAGCGCAUCAGUAAGCGCUGAUGAGCGAAGGCACCGUAGCCGCUGGGGCGUAGGUUUUUCGCAGUCCGAUCAGUCUUGCCUGAGCAUCGUUUACGCACUUGUUGGCGCUAGAAAUCAGCUGAUCGAAUUCCCAGCGUCGGACACACGACCCGGGAGAAUCUGCUUAGGUCCUGUUCGGGUGAUUGCCCUGGUGCGGUUCGCGCGGCGUGCCAGCCAAUCUGACCUAUUGAUUGGCAAGGAAAUAAAUGUGUCAGUUCCCAAAGGUUGCGAUCGGCUAAGGUUCCGAUCUCGAGAAAGCUUAUCAGCGAAUCGGCCGAUUUGCAGUAAUAAAGAAAUCGGCUAUGAUGCAACCGAUUACCAGGCAACGUUUAUAAAGAAAACUGCUAGAGUAAUCUAAACAACGCUACAAUAGCAACACUAGGAACAGAUCUAGUCGGCUAUGCAUAAAAUAGGUAGAUUAAAUAGCGAAGUACAAGGAAAGCCGAAAUUACUGAUUCCUAGCUGGAUAACUGGUGAUAAAACUAGAACAACAGGUAAAACCUAGAAUUCUAGUAAAUAUCGAUAACUGAUGAAUAAAUCUAAACGAAACGACAGCGAUGCGCCCGAAGUUAAAGCUUAGAAUUUACUCGAUAAACAGAACUUAAAAGAUCGGCCGGAGGUCAAGUUGAUGCAGCCCCGCCAACCCGUACGAACUCGUGAAAAAGAAGAAAAAGUGUUGGCGAAGUCGCCUGCUUGAAAGUAAGUACGAGGAAACAGUAGUUUGUUGUAUUGAGUUGCUGAUGAUUACAGAUCUACAAGGGUGGCUAUUUAUAGUCCCAUACAAACGACUUCUUAUCCGACUAGAACUCUAUCCCUAAAUUUAAACAGAAAAUGAAUAUUUACAAGUACGAUUCGUACUAUUUUCUCGUGCUUCAUGGGCUGACCCCCUCUUCAUCUUCAUAAUCCUUUUUAAGCCCGCAUCGGCCCAACUAUUCCAACCUCCUAAUCGGCCGAUCACCUCUUUGGCAAGGGGGUAACCGAUCAGGACCCACAUGUCGAGGGCUCAGACUCAUUCCAACCCUGGGAACUAAGGUCGGACGAGGUGGAGACCCUCCUUUGGAGGGUCGGGCGCGUCCGAUCCCAAACCUCAGGGGUCGGGCGAGGCGGAGAUCCUCCCUUGGAGGGUCGGGCGCGUCCGAUCCCAAGCCUCAGGGGUCGGGCGAGGCGGAACUCCAAGGAUCAAUCGGCCGAUCCUCGACUGUAGCAUCAAUUGGCUGAUCCUUGACUGUAGCACCAAUCGGCUGAUUUCCAAUCGUCGCCCUUGUAUCUCACCGCAUCUCCUAAUUUCUUCCACUUCUAACGCCGAUUUUACUCAUGUCAAAAUCUGGCGUCAACAGCACUCUCUCCUUUUCACGCCCAAACGUUUAGGAAGAGGGUCGGUUCGAAGAAAAGGUGUUUUGAGAAGACGUCAAGUGCCUUAGGCCGGAGCCCCUGAUAGCCCCUGAGGGAUAUGCGACCCUGGGGCAGAGCCAGGGUCGGAUAUCCUUGAGCUCGGGACGAGACUCGAACGAGAUCGACUCAAAAUUGCCUUUUUUUCGUGAAUUAGAAAGUUACAGGAGUAUGUAUGUACAAAACUUGGAAAUAAAAACUAAGGGUAGAAGCAUCUUAGCUGCUCUAUGUUCCAAGCGUUGUUGAAGAUCUGUCCGUCAGGGGUUGCCAACUUGUACAUGCCUGGCCGCAGUACUUGCGCGACGAUGAAGGGGCCUUCCCAUGGAGGGGUCAGAUUGUGCCGGCCUCUGUUGUCCUAGACGAGGCGAAGCACCAGGUCGUCGAUGUUGAAGGUUCGGCCUCAUACCUUACGGCUGUGGUAUCGUUGUAAGGUCUGCUGGUACUUGGCCGAGUGCAGCAAGGCCACAUCGCGCGCUUCAUUGAGCUGGUCUUGCGCGUCUUCGAGCGAUGCCUGGUUCCCCUAUUCAUCGUACGCCUUGACCCUCGGCGACCCGUACUCCAGGUCAGUGGGGAGGAUUCCCUCGGAACCGUAGACCAUGAAGAAUGGGGUGAAGCAAGUCACCCUACUGGGGGUCGUCCUCAGACUCCAUAGGACCGUGGGGAGCUCCGCAACCCACCGGCCGCCGAACUUUUUGAGGCGGUCGAAGAUCUGUGGCUUGAGACCCUGGAGUAUCAUGCCAUUGGCCCGCUCAACCUGCCCGUUCGUGUGGGGAUGCGCCACGGCCGACCAGUCCACUCGGAUGUGGUGGUCAUCGCAGAACUAGAGGAACUUCUUCCCGGUGAACUGCGUGUUGUUGUCCGUGAUGAUGGAGUUGGGGACUCCAAAGAGAUGGAUGAUGUCGGUGAAGAAUUGUAUCGCCUGCUCGGACUUGAUUUGUGCAACCGGUCGUGCCUCGAUCCACUUUGAGAACUUGUCCAUGGCGACAAGUAAGUGGGUGAAGCCCCCGAGUGCCUUCUUGAAAGGUCCGACGAGGUCCAGUCCCCAGACUACUAACGGCCACAUGAUGGGGAUGGUCUGGAGCACCUAUGCGGGCACCCCUCGCAGGUGCGCACCACGUGGGUGGCGUCGGCUGCUGCCGUCGGCUAGUAGAAGCCCUAUCGGAAGGCGUUCCCAACGAGGGUUCUUGGCGCGGCAUGGUGGCCGCAGGCCUCGGCAUGGAUGUCCUGUAUCAACACCUUUCCCUGCUCGAUUGGGAUGCAGCGCUGGACGAUGCCGGUGUGGCUCCGCUUGUAGAGCUCCUGGUCGAUGAUGACGAAUGAUUUGGCACGACGUGCAAUCCUGCGUGCCUCCAUCUUGUUCGUCGGGAGCAUCUCGUGGAUGAGGUAGUCGAGGUACGGGGCUCUCCAGUCAGGCGGGAGGUCGAGCCCCUCUACCGGGUUUGCGUCGAUCUCCAUGACUUCGGGAUCAGAGGGAUCGGCCUUCGGGUCUAGGCCAGAUGAACAGUCGCCGACCUUUCCAGGGUCGAUGUCCGAGUCCGAGACAGGUGGCGCAUUGCCGACCUCUCCCGGGCUGGCGCCCGAAUUCGGGGUAGGUGGCGCGUCGCCGACCCUUCCCGGCUCCUUGUAACGGAUCCAGGGCUUGUACUGGUUGCUGACGAAGACGCCAGUUCGUCAGCUACCUCAUUGAAACGCCUAGCGACGUGGUUGAGCUCUAGUCCAUCGAACUUGUCUUCGAGCUUGCGGACUUCAUUGCAGUACGCCACUAUCUUGGGGUCGUGGCAGCUCCACUCCUUCAUGACUUGUUCGACGACUAGCUGAGAGUCGCCUCGGAUGUCCAGCGGACGGAUGCCCAGCUCGAUGGCGAUGCGAAGCCGUUGAGGAGAGCCUCGUAUUCAGCGACAUUGUUAGAUGCAGGAAAGUGGAGGCGGAUCAUGUAUCUCAUGCGCACGCCGAGAGGAGAGACGAAUAUUGGUCCCGCUCCGGCACGAGCCUUCAUCAACAACCCGUCGAAGUACAUCGUCCAGUACUCUUGCUUCUCCGGCGUCGAUGGCGUCUGGAUCUCCGUCCACUCUUCAACAAAGUCGGCGAGCACUUGGGACUUGAUGGCCGUGCGGGGGGCAUAGGUGAUGCCCUGGUCCAUGAGCUCGAGCACCCACUUCGCAAUCCGUCCCGUGGUUUCUUGAUUCCGGAUCACUUCGCCGAGAGGAAAUGACGAGACGACCGUCAUGGGAUAGGAUGUGAAGUAGUGGUGCAACUUCCUCUUCGUGAUGAGGAUGGCGUAGAUGAGCUUCUGGAUCUGCGGGUAGCGCGCCUUGGACUCGGAUAAAACCUCGUUGACAAAGUACAUCGGGUGCUGCACCUUGAGGGCGUGUCCCUCCUCUUCUCGCUCCACCACCAGAGCCGCGCUAACCACCUGGGUGGUCGCCGCGAUGUAGAGUAGGAGUGGCUCCCCGUCGGUUGGCAGGACUAGGAUCGGGGCCUUCGUCAGGAGGUUCUUGAGCCGGUCAAGUGCCUCCUGGGCCUCGGUGGUCCACUCAAAGCGGUCGGUCUUCUUCAGGAGACGGUAGAGAGGGAGCCCCCGUUCGCCGAGGCGCGAGAUGAAGCGGCUCAGGGCCGCCAGGCAUCCCGUGAUGCGUUGAACUCCCUUUAUGUUUCAAAUCGGCCCCAUGUCGCUGAUGGCCGCUAUUUUCUCCGGAUUGGCUUCGAUGCUGCGCACGGAGACGAUGAAACCCAGCACAUACCCCUCGGAACCCCAAAAACGCACUUUUCAGGGUUGAGCUUGAUGCACUUGUCUCUCAGCCUUUCGAAGGCUAGUUCGAGGUCGGGGAUGAGCUGGUCGCCCUUCUUGGACUUGACUACGAUGUCAUCGACUUAAGCCUCAACGGUUCGCCCGAUGAGGUCCCCGAAACACUUGAGCAUGCAUCGCUGGAACGUAGCCCCCGCAUUUUUGAGGCCGAAAGGCAUCUUAACGUAGCAAAAGGAGCUGAAAGGGGUCAUGAAAGAGGUCGAUAGCAGGUCGGACUCUUUCAUCGCGAUUUGAUGGUAGCCGGAAUAUGCGUCAAGGAAGCUAAGGGUUUCGCACCCGGCGGUUGAGUCGACUAUCUGAUCUAUACGUGGCAAAGGAAACGGAUCCUUUGGGCACGCCUUGUUGAGACCAGUAUAAUCAACACACAUCCUCCAUUUCCCAUUCUUUUUUCGUACAAGAAUAGGAUUAGCUAGCCACUCAAGGUGGUACACUUCCUUGAUGAAUCCGACCGCCAACAGCUUCUGAAGCUCCUCACCGAUGGCCUUGCACCUCUCCUCGUCGAAGCGAUGCAAGCCUUGCUUCACCAGUUUGGAGCCGGCCUUGAUGUUCAAGGAGUGCUCGGCGACUUUCCUCAGGAUGCCGGGCAUGUCCGAGGGUUUUCACAAGAAACUGUCGCUGUUUGCGUGGAGGAAGUCGACGAGCGCGCUUUCCUAUUUGGGAGAUAGGGUAGCGCCUAUCCGUACGGUCCUGCCGUCGGAACUGCUGGGGUCAAGGGGGACCUCCUUGACACCUUCGGUGGCUUUGAAGGAGGUGUCGGACUGCUUGGAGUCGGGCGGGUCCUCAGCACUCUCCGCGAGCUGGACCGCGGGAUCCUCCGUGCAGGUGAUGGCGCGGUUGUUGAACCCUUAGUGGGCCAACCUUCGAACCCCUGGACCGUAAUGGGCCGUAGGGGCGUUUUCAGUCCCGUAUCCCUUUUUUACCUAUUGGUAGGUCUUGGGCCGGUCGUGGAGGAGGUUGUGCGCGCGCGUUUUCCGGGAGGCGAAGUGGCGGAAGGCGCCGGCCCACGAAGCGAGGGAGGCGGAGAUUUCUUCCUGCAGCAGAUCGUGCGCACGGAUUCCAAGAAAUGCGGGUGUGACGGCGCGUACCUGGCGCUGCAUUAACUGCGACAAGACCGUCCCUUUUGCUUCCCAUGCGCCCGCCUAUAAGACGGGGGGGGGGGGGGGGGGGUCUGCCUCCGCCCGCAACUGCUCCCAAAUCUGCUAGGUCAUAUGGCUUUGUUGCACAUGAUGCCUUGUUCGGGCCUGAUCCACGCGCACAGUGAACCAUUGGCGAGUUUUUGCUAAUGUACGAAGGUAUAUUUGUUUCAGAUUUUUGCUGUUGGUGAUGCUUUGGUGACACGUUCUUGCUAUGCUCGACUCUGGCUUAAUUUCUCCGUCCAAAUCUUGACACGUGAAACAUAAUUUGAUUUGUAUUUUGUGAUACGCUGGUAUUAGGGCCUAUAAUGUGCCGUGACCUCACCUCACCAGUUAAUCUGACUAAUGUGGCAAGUCGCCUGCUCGGUUGAUGUAGAAAGGCACUUCGAGGCGUUGUCACGUUGUCAAAAUUGUUUUCUGCUGAAAAAAAAUCACGCUUUCGAUAUGAUUCUGACAGAUUUAAUUAUGCUUCUGAAAGAUUUGAAAGUAACAUGCAACGAGUUUUCGGUGGCUACUGAAAUGUUUAACACGUUUGCCGGAUCUUCACUUCAAGUCAUAAAGAUCGGAGAGGUAUAUCAAAGUACGCCACAGGAAUCGUUCGUGCAUGCUACCUCUUGCAGAUCCCAGAGGCCGUUUCUUUGUUAUUCAUUUUGAAUGGCGUUUCUUAUUGUUUGGAUGAACCGAACUAUUAAGGAUAAAUCUAAAUCGUGUUGGGUCGCGCUUGACUAUGAACGUGCGACCGUUGGCAGCCCGCGGCCUGCUACUAAUGUGAUGGGCUCACGUAAGAGAUAUAAAUACGGUAAUGGUAGGAUGUCCGGUGAAAAAUCGGACGCGGGUCCUGCAGGACGUCUGACUUAUCUAUCGUGUCGGGUCGCGCUUGACUAUGAACGUGCGACCAUUGGCGGCCCGCGGCCUGCUACUAAUGUGAUGGGCUCACGUAAGAGAUAUAAAUACGGUAAUAGUAGGAUGUCCGGCGAAAAAAUCGGACGCGGGUCCUGUAGGACAUUUGGCUUAUCUAUCCACCACCGCAUCCCCCUGAUCCCAUCUAUCUACCACUCAUUCAUCUCUCUCUCCCUCCCCCACCAUGGAGAAUUGGAGAGCGGUGGCGCUCCGGCGAGCUGCCAGGAGGGCGGUACGCGGCGGCGCUCCCGCGAGCUCGGAGGCACGCGGAGGCAGCGCGAGGGCGGCGGCGCUCCAGCGAGCUGCCGGGAGGGCGGCGCGCGAGUGGCGGUGCUCCGGAGACCUCAGAGGGGGUGCGCGAGGGCGGCGGCAGCAAUGGGCUUGGCCACCUAAGGAGCUCCAUUGGGAAGGGUGCUGAGCGCCGCUCCCCCGUGGCCAGGGGCAAGCCGCGCCGGCCGCCGCCAUCCUCCUCCUCCUCCAUCGUUUCCUAGCGUCGGAUCCCGCUGUGCAGUACUCCUCCUGCCAGGAUUUGCUGCAUUUGCAAGCGUAUGUUUCAAGUGUUUCAAAAGAAUAUUGCAAGUAUUUCAUGUGGAUGUUGCAAAGUAGAUCUAGAUGUUGUAAUGUUGCAUAUGUUUCACACACAUGUUGCAAGUGUUUACUCUGGAUGUUGCAUUUUCAAUGAGAGAUUUGAAUAUUCCAUGCAACACGAAACAGACGUUGCGGCGGAUUUUUUUUCCUCAUCAUCAACAGAUGGCUAAUAAAUUUUUUUCAACAUGUUUUUUUGAUGUUGCAAACCUCGAUUUUCUAUGUUGCAAACAUUUAUUUUCUAUGUUGCAGACAUUAUUUUUUGAUGUUGCGAUGGACUAACGGAGCGUCCGAUGGGAAAAACGUCCGAGCGCUAGCAACGCCUAUUUAAAUAUUAGGUGAAUUAGUUUGUGGCUGGUAGUUAGGAUGAUAGCACGCAUGACCUACUACAGCCUUCAAAGGAGAAAACUAAAAUGCGCUGGUUCACGUGAUUUUUUUGUUCAUUUGACCUCUUUAAAAUAUGAUAACUUUCUUCUAAAUUGCCUGUUUUCAACUUCAUCUAUACCACUGGCUUAUUCACGAUGAGCUCUACAAAACUAGAUCCAUGAUGCAUAUAUUUCAAGAAAAAAAUUAUGCGCUAGCAAUUUAUAUCGAAUGCGUAGUAGCUUGUGUGACAACUUAUCGAGUGACUUACCUAUAAAUUAUAUACAUAAAUCGCUACAAAAGAGAUUUUGCAUGAUGUUGUUGCCUACUUGAAGUAUCUACGUAAGUUGUUGUAUUGUCUCCACAUAAAUUAGUAUAUUAUCACAAGUUAUUGCAUUAUUUCUACAUAAGUUGCAACAAUAUAAAAGUUGUCACAAAUUUUCCAAGUAAUUUGACAAUAAUAAGUUGAUAUGAAUUCCUAUAAAAGUUAAAGGUGUAGUAGUAGGUAUACAAGUUAUUACAUUGUAUGAAAUAAAUAGCUACAUGUCCAUGCAUGAUUUUCUACUGGACAUAUAACAGAAUCUGUUAUCCAAAAAUACCAUAUAAGGUGCUACAUAGUUAGUAUAUAAGUUAGUGCUGUGUAUCAACAUAAGUUGACUCUAAGUAUAAAACAACUUCAAAAUAUAUUAAUAUGGAUCUUGUUUUGUGGAUCUUAUUGUAAGAAAAAAAAGGUGUAAACGGAUUUGAAAACCAAUGCUUGAUGAGAGAGUAAUGCUCGUUUGAAGAAAAUAUAACUAUUUUGCUUGCCGAUGUUAUCACCGUUGUCACUCCGAAGUGACAUAUUCAAUCUAUUGCAUGCCACACCCGCGUAUUGCUGCCAUUGCUGAUUGAGGGACACAUGGCGGCACAAGAUAGGGUCGCGCGUUAACCUAGUCCAACUAUUAAUCCCAGAUUUCAUGAAAGAAAAAUAUUAGAGCAGGAUGAAAAAAGGAAAUCAUCUGUGUCUUUCUUCCGGUAGUAGUCAUGGUUUGCAUGCAAAAUAUUCUGAGAACCAUUUUUGGGGGGUGAUACGGUACCUCGACCAAAGUAAUAGGCUAAUAGCACAGCGACACUUAAAAAAAAAGAAAAAGUACAGCAACAGCGCAAUGAUCUUCCAGCAAAACGGUCAUGCCAAUUGCCAACGAUAUGUUCGGUUUGGUACUUCGGUGCAUGUGCUCGAAGGCUAAACAAGUAAAAAAUGGCCACCUGCUAAUUCAAUUUGGUCGUCAAAGUCAGCUAAAUUUUACCCACCAAAUUCAGCUUGGCUACGUGUUCAGCCUUUUGCAUAAGCAGGUGCUCAACUCAGUGCUUCAACACCAUUCUUAUGAAAGCGAUCAUUGCAGCUUUCAGGAAGCCCAACUGUACCUUGAUCAUCGUCUCAGCUAUUUCGGCACGAGCGCUUUACGAGAGAGGUGAACGUGUCACAGUUCCAGCCGGCCGGAAUCUUCAAACUAGGAGCGAGACGGCACAAAUAUAUUCGUUCACAUGCAACAGCGUAAAGGUAAAAUCUUGCCUCCAAUAACAGGAUAGCUAAGGACAACAACCAGUUAAUACUGACCAUGGUUCCGGUCUCUGCUCAGAUGGUUGCUUUCUUGCAUUUGUUUUGUUUACUGACGAAAAUCACACCGGCCAUGUAACUCCUUCGCAUAAGCAACGAAAUUGAAAAUCAAUUUAAUACUCUUGAAUUUACAUGCAAUGGAUUUAUGAAAAUGGGAACUAAAGUGCUUCACACGUGUUUUUUUUUUGCAGAUCUUCAGUCAGUCGAACAUGUUGAGAUUCAUAGAAGAGAGGAUAUGAAUAGGAGCCAAAACGUCGGAGAGAGGCAUCUCGAAGGAAGCUGCCCGGAAUCAUGUGUGCAUGUUCGCUCUUGAAGAUUCCAAAGGGCGUUCCUUUGUUACCUACUGUAUUUCUUAUUCAUUUCGAUUGAGUUCCUGUAAUUGCAGUUCGGAGGAUGUAAAAAGAUACUGUAGUAAUCAUUUCGGUUUUUUCCCCCUACAAAUCCUCCAAUGACCGUAGUCGAGCCUCUGUGGUAAAGUGACAGGAGCGAUUCUACUGCCACUUGGGAUGAAAUAAACCUCGGCCAAAAGGACAGGGACAACGCAAUAACUUGCAAAAACGUGGCCGUUGCCAAAUGCUUAUUCGGUUAUGACUUGGACCGCUUGGUGCUACGUGUGCAACCCGGCCCUAUCAUCUCACUCGGUGCUUCAACGUCAUUCUCAUCCAAGCGAUUUCUUCAGCUUUCAACAAGCCUGACAACUGUAUUUUCAUUAUAAUUGUUACUGUUAUUUUAGCACGAGCAGCUUUUUUACAUUUUUUUUUGGCUAGGUGUGACGAGGGCAAGAGGAGCAUAUACCAUACAUGAAAGGAUAGAAGAAAAUCCCCAUCGUACCUUGCUUCUUCGCAUUGUUCGGAUUUAUGAAAUAUAUAGGGCACAUGUAUUGAACAUGUUUGCAAGGGAAAUAGAACCUCUUACAGAGUCAAAAGAUAAAGGAACUUGAACAAGAGCGUGUACAAAAAGAAUCGUUUUAUUCCUUUUGUCUGCUAUAAUUCUUGUUAGUCUAGCUGGCCUGUCAGAAAUAUAUUUGGGUCAUUUUUGUCCAUGUGACUAACGAGUAACGAGAGGAGUGCUACUACUAUUAGGCGGUAUUUGUUUAUCACACCGAAUGUAUAGAAACUAAUUAGAAGUAUUAAAUAUAGACUAAUUACAAAACCAAUUGCACAGAUGGAGACUAAAUUGCAAGACGAAUCUAUUAAGCCUAAUUAGUCCAUAAUUUGACAAUGUGAUGCUACAGUAAACAUGUGCUAAUGAUGGACUAAUUAGACUUAAUAGAUUCGUCUUAUGAAAUAGUCUCCAUCUGUGUAAUUAGUUUAUAAUUAGUUCAUGUUUAGUCCUCCUUAUUAGCCUCCGAAUAUUCGAUGUGACAUGAAUUUUAGUUCGAACUAAAAAUCCAAACACCCCUCGG
rnacentral:lncRNA from 1 species